rnacentral:piRNA from 1 species
CAAGACACUAUGCAUAGUGCAUAUCAUU